AUAUGAGUCACAUGGGGAUCUUGUUAAAAUUCAGAUUCUGAUUCACUUAGAUCUUGGAUGUGGCCUGAGAUUCUGAAAUUAUAACAAGUUACCAGGUGAUGCCAAU
rnacentral:pre_miRNA from 1 species